rnacentral:rRNA from 1 species
CUACGGGUUGCAGCAGUGAGGAAUAUUGCGCAAUGGACGAAAGUCUGACGCAGCAACGCCGCGUGAGCGAAGAAGGCCUUCGGGUCGUAAAGCUCUUUUCUGGGGGAAGAGGAAGGACGGUACCUCAGGAAUAAGUCUCGGCUAACUACGUGCCAGCAGCCGCGGUAAAACGUAGGAGGCGAGCGUUAUCCGGAUUUAUUGGGCGUAAAGCGCGUGCAGGUGGUUUCGUAAGUCGGAUGUGAAAGCCUCUGGCUCAACUAGAGGAUGUCGUUCGAAACUGCGGGACUUGAGGUCGGGAGAGGAAAGCGGAAUUCCCGGUGUAGUGGUGGAAUGCGUAGAUAUCGGGAGGAACACCAGUGGCGAAGGCGGCUUUCUGGCCCGCACCUGACACUAAGACGCGAAAGCGUGGGGAGCGAACGGGAUUAGAUACCCGGGUAGUC